rnacentral:rRNA from 1 species
UACGGAGGGUGCUAGCGUUGCUCGGAAUUACUGGGCGUAAAGCGUACGCAGGCGGCUUGGUAAGUCGGAUGUGAAAUCCCCAGGCUCAACCUGGGAACUGCAUCCGAAACUACCUCGCUUGAGUUCGGGAGAGGGAAGUGGAAUUCCUGGUGUAGCGGUGAAAUGCGCAGAUAUCAGGAGGAACACCGGUGGCGAAGGCGGGUCUCUGGGCCGAUACUGACGCUGAGGAGCGAAAGCGUGGGGAGCGAACAGG